CCUACGGGAGGCAGCAGUGAGGAAUAUUGGUCAAUGGGCUUACGCCUGAACCAGCCAAGUCGCGUGAGGGAAGACUGCCCUAUGGGUUGUAAACCUCUUUUGUCAGGGAGCAACGCCGGCUACGUGUAGCCGGACUGAGAGUACCUGAAGAAAAAGCAUCGGCUAACUCCGUGACAGCAGGCGCGGUAAUACGGAGGAUGGAAGCGUUAGCCGGAUUUACUGGGGUUGAAGUGUGCGUAGGCGGAAUGCCAAGUCAGCGGUAAAAUCGCGGGACUCAACCGCGCUCCGGCCUUGAUACUGGCGUUCUUGAGGGAGCGAGAGGUAUGCGGAAUGCGUGGUGGAGCGGUGAAAUGCAUAGAUAUCACGCAGAACUCCGAUGGCGAAGGCAGCAUACCGGCGCCAAACUGACGCUGAAGCACGAAAGCGUGGGUAGCGAACAGGAUUAGAUACCCCAGUAGUC
rnacentral:rRNA from 1 species